rnacentral:lncRNA from 1 species
CAACUUCAAGAAACUGGGAAAAAAAAAACCCACACAAUUUAUCAUUCAAAGAGAAACAAAUCAAGAAACAGAAAAGAAUAUAGUUAAAACAAAAAAGCCAAAGAUUUAGCAAAAAAUCAGGAAGAGGACAUUGAUACAAAGUAAUAGAAAAAGAAGAUAUAAGAUACAGUUAACAUAAAAUCCUAUCAAGCAUAGGCCUGGUGUGGUGGCUUACGCCUGUAAUCCCAGCACAUUGGGAGGAUGAGGUGGGCGGAUCACCAGGAUGCUCUCAAUCUUCUGACCUCAUGAUCCACCCGCCUCGGCCUCCCAAAGUGCUAGGAUUACAGGCGUGAGCCACCGUGCCCGGCCAUUUUUGUG